UGCUUUUGAUCACGCCUGGAAAAAAUUGCCCCUCAUAAGAUCAUCACAAGCAACACAGAGAAAUGUUGGCCUGCUGAAAAUAGAAGUGCAGAGACUCUCUCCCGUGACAGAAUGAGGCGUGGAGGAUUCGCAGAACUGUUUCCUCAAGGGCCCCAUAGUGAUACCGUCUUUUAUUCCUUUUAGUAGCCUCAUCAGUGCCCUGAAUGCAGUGACUUGUGUCAGGACAGCGUUCUCCAUGCUGGCUGCGGGUGACGGCCUGAGCCCCGGUACAGUAUUCCUGCUGGCCUCAGACCGCCCUCCCAGGCAAAACCUGGGGCCAGCCUGUCUGCAGUCUGAAAUGCCCUCCAGAUUAUCCUAAAUGUGCAUGUUAAUGACCAUCAGAUCUGAGAGCUGGUGGA
rnacentral:lncRNA from 1 species